rnacentral:snRNA from 1 species
UGUUCACCCACCAAUAGGGAACGUGAGCU